GAUGAACGCUGGCGGCGUGCCUAAUACAUGCAAGUCGAGCGAACAGACGAGGAGCUUGCUGCUCUGACGUUAGCGGCGGACGGGUGAGUAACACGUGGAUAACCUACCUAUAAGACUGGGAUAACUUGGGGAAAGCGGAGCUAAUACCGGAUAAUAUCUUGAACCGCAUGGUUCAAUAGUGAAAGACGGUUUUGCUGUCACUUAUAGCUGGAUCCGCGCCGCAUGAGGUAGUUGGUAAGGUAACGGCUUACCAAGGCAACGAUGCGUAGCCGACCUGAGAGGGUGAUCGGCCACACUGGAGCUGAGCCACGGACCAGACUCCUACGGGAGGCAGCAGUCGGGAAUGUGCCGCAACGGGCGAAAGCCUGGCGGAGCGAGGCGGCGUGAGAGAUGGAGGCCUUCGGAUCGUAAAACCCUGUUAUGAGGGGAGAACAAAUGUGGAAGGAGCUGUGCCCGUCUUGACGGUACCUAGUCAGAAAGCCCCGGCUAACUACGUG
rnacentral:rRNA from 1 species